CCCGCGGCAAGACGGAAAGACCCCGUGAACCUUUACUAUAGCUUGACACUGAACAUUGAGCCUUGAUGUGUAGGAUAGGUGGGAGGCUUUGAAGCGUGGACGCCAGUCUGCGUGGAGCCGACCUUGAAAUACCACCCUUUAAUGUUUGAUGUUCUAACGUGGAUCCGUAAUCCGGGUUGCGGACAGUGUCUGGUGGGUAGUUUGACUGGGGCGGUCUCCUCCUAAAGAGUAACGGAGGAGCACGAAGGUUGGCUAAUCCUGGUCGGACAUCAGGAGGUUAGUGCAAUGGCAUAAGCCAGCUUGACUGCGAGCGUGACGGCGCGAGCAGGUGCGAAAGCAGGUCAUAGUGAUCCGGUGGUUCUGAAUGGAAGGGCCAUCGCUCAACGGAUAAAAGGUACUCCGGGGAUAACAGGCUGAUACCGCCCAAGAGUUCAUAUCGACGGCGGUGUUUGGCACCUCGAUGUCGGCUCAUCACAUCCUGGGGCUGAAGUAGGUCCCAAGGGUAUGGCUGUUCGCCAUUUAAAGUGGUACGCGAGCUGGGUUUAGAACGUCGUGAGACAGUUCGGUCCCUAUCUGCCGUGGGCGCUGGAGAACUGAGGGGGGCUGCUCCUAGUACGAGAGGACCGGAGUGGACGCAUCACUGGUGUUCGGGUUGUCAUGCCAAUGGCACUGCCCGGUAGCUAAAUGCGGAAGAGAUAAGUGCUGAAAGCAUCUAAGCACGAAACUUGCCCCGA
rnacentral:rRNA from 1 species